rnacentral:rRNA from 1 species
GAACCUGCGGAGGGAUCAUUACCGAGUGGAGGGCGCUCGCCGCCCGACCUCCCAACCCUUUGAUCUGAUCAAGACCUCCUUCUGCCUCGGGGGCGACCCGGCCUUCGCGGCCGCCGGUCCCCCCGGUCGGCACCCAACUCCAACCCUGCAUCAAUUGUCGUCGGAUUAUUGAAGCGAAUUCAAUCAAAAACUUUCAACAACG